UGAGGAAGCAUUGCAACACGCUACACGCCCAGGACGCCGAGCCCCGAUGAUGCAGCCCCUCCAGCGUGCCCACCUGCUCCUCCUGCUUGCUCUGCUCACCCUCUGCUUGCCCCUCAGCUGGGCGGAUGCUGUGACUACGAAGCCUGCGACCAGCACUCGCGGCCAACCCGUCAGCCUGGCUGCCCCGUGCUGUGGCCCAGCCUUUGUCUCCCUUGCGCUGGGCCUGGUUGCAGCUUUCCUGCUCCGGAUGUGCUGAGCCUCAGGGCUGACGGCACCCAAGAGCCCUGGCCUCCUGGUCCACCCCAUGGAGAGAUCCUCAGGACUGUGGCCCUGGACCCUCCCUGGACACUCACAGCAAGGACCAGCUAGCAUGACGCCACCGCUCCAUCCUGCAAGUCCCUCUCCCCAGCCAGCUGCCUACUCCGUGCUCACUCUCCCAGCCCCACACAGGCCCUCCAGCCCAUCGUGCCAUGCUCCAGCUCCUCUCACCCCAGCACGCUGGCCAAAGGCAGCAGCCCCGGCGGCACAGACUGACGCCACAGCGACACUUUGCAAUGCAAUGGCGAAGCUGCUCCGGCUCAGCACGCUCCGGCUGGGAGCAGGGCAGCCCACCCUGGCUCCGGAGCGGGCGUGCUGCCGAGGCUUUGAGAAAUAAAACAUUGGCAAAGUG